rnacentral:tRNA from 1 species
GGGAUAUAGCUCAGAUGGUAGAGCGCUUGAAUGGCAUUCAAGAGGUCAGGGGUUCGAUUCCCCUUAUCUCC